rnacentral:sRNA from 1 species
GUGAGUUCCUGGUGGACAUCAAGCCCUCCUUGACUUUUGAUGUCAUCCCCCUGCUGGACCCCUAUGGGCCCGCUGGCUCUGACCCCUCCCUGGAGUUCCUGGUGGUCAGCGAGGAGACCUAUCGUGGGGGGAUGGCCAUCAACCGCUUCCGCCUUGAGAAUGACCUGGAGGAACUUGCUUUGUACCAGAUCCAGCUGCUGAAGGACCUCAGACAUACAGAGAAUGAAGAGGACAAAGUCAGCUCCUCCAGCUUCCGCCAGCGAAUGUUGGGGAACCUGCUUCGGCCUCCAUAUGUAAGCUCCUCUCCCUCCUUCCCUCCUGCUUGGUGUCCUGGCAAUGCUGGAGAGUAGAAGCUGAGGGGCUCAGCCCCAGGCAUGAGGCUGAGGG